rnacentral:rRNA from 1 species
UACAGAGGUCCCAAGCGUUGUUCGGAUUCAUUGGGCGUAAAGGGUGCGUAGGCGGCGCGGUAAGUCGGGUGUGAAAUCUCGGGGCUUAACUCCGAAACUGCAUUCGAUACUGCCGUGCUUGAGGACUGGAGAGGAGACUGGAAUUUACGGUGUAGCGGUGAAAUGCGUAGAUAUCGUAAGGAAGACCAGUGGCGAAGGCGGGUCUCUGGACCAACACUGACGCUGAUGAGCGAAAGCCAGGGGAGCAAACGGG